UAGGGAAUCUUCCGCAAUGGGCGAAAGCCUGACGGAGCAACGCCGCGUGAGUGAUGAAGGUCUUCGGAUCGUAAAACUCUGUUAUUAGGGAAGAACAAAUGUGUAAGUAACUAUGCACGUCUUGACGGUACCUAAUCAGAAAGCCACGGCUAACUACGUGCCAGCAGCCGCGGUAAUACGUAGGUGGCAAGCGUUAUCCGGAAUUAUUGGGCGUAAAGCGCGCGUAGGCGGUUUUUUAAGUCUGAUGUGAAAGCCCACGGCUCAACCGUGGAGGGUCAUUGGAAACUGGAAAACUUGAGUGCAGAAGAGGAAAGUGGAAUUCCAUGUGUAGCAGUGAAAUGCGCAGAGACAUGGAGGAACACCAGUGGCGAAGGCGACUUUCUGGUCUGUAACUGACGCUGAUGUGCGAAAGCGUGGGGAUCAAACAGG
rnacentral:rRNA from 1 species